UACGUAGGGUGCGAGCGUUGUCCGGAUUUAUUGGGCGUAAAGAGCUCGUAGGCGGCUUGUCGCGUCGACUGUGAAAUCCCGCGGCUCAACUGCGGGUCUGCAGUCGAUACGGGCAGGCUAGAGUUCGGUAGGGGAGACUGGAAUUCCUGGUGUAGCGGUGAAAUGUGCAGAUAUCAGGAGGAACACCGGUGGCGAAGGCGGGGUCUCUGGGGCCGAUACUGACGCUGAGGAGCGAAAAGCGUGGGGGAGCGAACAGG
rnacentral:rRNA from 1 species